CCAACCUGUCCUAGGGUGAGGGAUAACCCGGGGAAACCUGGGCUAAUACCGCAUGAUGUCAUACUUCCGCAUGGUCGUGUGAUCAAAGGGGGCCUCUACAUGUAAGCUCUCGCCCAAGGAGGGGUCGCGACGUAUCAGCUUGUUGGUGGGGUAAUGGCCUACCAAGGCUACGACGCGUAGCGGAUCUGAGAGGAUGAUCCGUCACAUUGGGACUGAGAUACGGCCCAG
rnacentral:rRNA from 1 species